rnacentral:rRNA from 1 species
CACGUAGUUAGCCGGGGCUUCUUAGUCAGGUACCGUCAUUUCUUUCUUCCCUGCUGAUAGAGCUUUACAUACCGAAAUACUUCUUCACUCACGCGGCGUCGCUGGAUCAGGGUUCCCCCAUUGUCCAAUAUUCCCCACUGCUGCCUCCCGUAGGAGUUUGGGCCGUGUCUCAGUCCCAAUGUGGCCGUUCACCCUCUCAGGCCGGCUACUGAUCGUUGCCUUGGUGGGCCGUUACCCCGCCAACAAGCUAAUCAGACGCGGGUCCAUCUUACACCACCGGAAUUUUCAAGUAAAAGACAUGCGUCUCCUACUGUUAUGCGGUAUUAGCACCUAUUUCUAAGUGUUAUCCCCCAGUGUAAGGCAGGUUACCCACGCGUUACUCACCCGUCCGCCACUAAGAUAGCAACAUCUCCGCUCUUAGUAAACUAAUCGCUUCGAAAAUGUUAUCUCCGUUCGACUUGCAUGUGUUAAGCACGCCGCCAGCGUUCAUCCUGAGCCAGGAUCAAACUC